rnacentral:rRNA from 1 species
AGAGUUUGAUCCUGGCUCAGGACGAACGCUGGCGGCGUGCUUAACACAUGCAAGUCGAACGGUAAGGCCCCAGCUUGCUGGGGUACACGAGUGGCGAACGGGUGAGUAACACGUGGGUGACCUGCCCCGCACUUCGGGAUAAGCCUGGGAAACUGGGUCUAAUACCGGAUAGGACCGCACCGUGAGGGUGUGGUGGAAAGUUUUUCGGUGUGGGAUGGGCCCGCGGCCUAUCAGCUUGUUGGUGGGGUAAUGGCCUACCAAGGCGGCGACGGGUAGCCGGCCUGAGAGGGUGGACGGCCACAUUGGGACUGAGACACGGCCCAGACUCCUACGGGAGGCAGCAGUGGGGAAUAUUGCACAAUGGGCGGAAGCCUGAUGCAGCGACGCCGCGUGGGGGAUGACGGCCUUCGGGUUGUAAACUCCUUUCACCAUCGACGAAGGUUUUCUGACGGUAGAUGGAGAAGAAGCACCGGCUAACUACGUGCCAGCAGCCGCGGUAAUACGUAGGGUGCGAGCGUUGUCCGGAAUUACUGGGCGUAAAGAGCUCGUAGGUGGUUUGUCGCGUCGUCUGUGAAAUUCCGGGGCUUAACUCCGGGCGUGCAGGCGAUACGGGCAUAACUUGAGUACUGUAGGGGAGACUGGAAUUCCUGGUGUGGCGGUGAAAUGCGCAGAUAUCACGAGGAACACCGGUGGCGAAAGCGGGUCUCUGGGCAGUAACUGACGCUGAGGAGCGAAAGCAUGGGUAGCGAACAGGAUUAGAUACCCUGGUAGUCCAUGCCGUAAACGGUGGGCGCUAGGUGUAGGGGUCUUCCACGACUUCUGUGCCGUAGCUAACGCAUUAAGCGCCCCGCCUGGGGAGUACGGCCGCAAGGCUAAAACUCAAAUGAAUUGACGG